UGCAUUCUACAUAUCAGAAGCAUUGAAUUCACCUAAGAGUUUGUCAGAAAUGCAGAAUCUCAGACCCAAAUUCAAACCUACUCAAUCAGAAUCUGCAUUUUGCUGAGAUCCCCUGCUGCUUGGUAGGCACAUUAAAGUUAGAGAAGCACUGCUCUACAGGGUCAGUUAUAAAUUAUACGUUCUUUUUAUGAUGUCUCCUCUCUCAAUAUGCUUUAUCACUUCAAACUUUUCUUCAUAUGUAUAAGCUUUUCUAUAUAUUUUAGGCUUACAUAUUUUCUUCUUUCUUACUUUUAGAAGGUAUUUUUGCCUGGGAAAUGGGGAAGAUGAUGACAAUAUAUAGAAAUUGAUUAGACAUCAGCAGAGACUCAAUGCCUCCCGGGCUGCCCCGAGGAGUGACAAGGGCCUGUAUUGAGGCGGCUUGUGAAGAGGACUUGAACGCUGUACCAGCUGCAUAUCCCUGGCUUCCUCCCAAGAGCUCCUGAUGGGAUAUUCUCCAUGAUUUCUAAGACCACCUGGAGUUAUUAGUCCCUUGAGGACCCCCAUAAGAUGCUUUAUUAGCCUUUCCUUUGCUCCCCAGGUGCCUUAACUCAGAUCCUCAUUCAUUGUAAGAUUGGAAAAGCAUGCACGUGCAGGUCUUGUCUUAGGUAGCAAUAAAAUGCUAUUACUAGAUCCCUAAAUGUAAAUGACACAGACAAGCUAUUUCUUAACAUCAAUAAAUCUAAUGUCUGUGUAAUCAGAAACCAGACAUCUGAACUCUACCUUUGGGCUAACUAAAAACCUGUAUCAUUGCAGUCAUUAGAAACCAAUUUUUGUUCCUUGUCUUACGGAAGUGAUAGCUGUUGAGUUUUUAAUUGUUAAAUAAUGAGUUUUUCUUUUUAGUUACAAGCCAUGAGGCAAAUUUAAAAGUUUGUUUCUGAGGAGGUAAGAUUAAAUUUAAAACAACAAAUGAAGCCUUUGCAUCACUAGCAUUCUUUCCCAUGUAUAUUAUCCAACACUGGAGUGUUAAAAAUAUUUUUGAAAGUGAUUUUAUAACAAGUGUGUAUUUCUAAAAAAAAAUCGAUGAGAAGGAAAUUUAUGUAAAAAAUUUUUCAAAUGAAUGUAUAAAAAUUUUCACAUAGGGCACACAAAUAAUUGUCUCAGAGUAUGAUCAUUUUUUAGUAAUAUACACUAACUGUUUCUAACAGUAUUUCUACGUGCAGUUUAAGGUUUUAUGAACAUGAAUACAUUAUAGAACAAAUUAUUGCAUUUAAAAGAAAUAUCAAAAUCUGACUGUUUACUUACUUUUACCAGUUAUUUUUACUCCAUGGAAAUUAUGCUGCUGAAUAUAGUGAAUAAAAAUAGAGGUGAUUACACUGAUUUUAACUUAGUGCUAUUUUCAAAAUAAUAAUACUUCUUAUGGGAUAGAGAGCAUUAAGGGGAAGGCAAAGGGAAGAAAAUCACCUUUGCAU
rnacentral:lncRNA from 1 species